UGACUUUAAAAAUUAUGCAUAUACAAUACGCAAUACCCGUGAAACGUAAAUAAAUCUUUUGUUGCGUUCAACAGAUUUAUUUUUUGACUAGGAAGUUUUACACGAAAUGGUUUCUACUGUGAAUAUUUAAUUACAGGGCAUUCCUUAUCAAAUUUGAUUAUUUGUUGUACAUGACAUAUGGAGUACCUUUCGUUUUAUAUUUUCUAUGGUGUAGCAUUAUCGUGUGUUUCGUCAAUAAAGCAGGAUCGUAGACAGGUUAUAUACAAGGAGCAUGAAAUCGUAAAAAGACAAACAAGACCUCCAGAGAACGAAACAACGAUUUCAGAUGACCAUGCUUAUUACACAUCUAAAAUUAUAUCAGAUCCAGAUGGCGCCUACUGGAAUGAACUGGAAGGACACACGAAACAUAUUCUAUCUAAUGACCAUCAUCUUCGAUAUUCGUUUGUUAUAAUGUCAUUCCAGUUUCCCUUUUAUGGACACCCGAUUAAUAGAUUUGCAAUCACAACACAAGGUUUUCUUUAUAUGAGUAAUUUUACCCAUCCUGAUUUAGACUGGACUUUUACCCAUUAUAUUGCACCGUUAAUGGGGAACUUUGAUACCAUUGGAAAUGACUCACAAAUUCUGUAUAAGGAUAAUGGACACAGUUUUGUUGUAGAAUGGAGAAAUGUUGAACUAAAUGACCAACCUGAGAAAGGCGCUUACACCUACCAGGCAACACUUUUUGAAAAUGGUACAAUAUUGUUAGCAUAUAAAUCAAUUCCAGAUACGAAUAUUUCUGGUCAGAUUUGGCCGGUUAAAGUUGGUAUAUCAGACGCUUACUAUUAUGAUCGAGAUUUAUUUUUUGGAUACAUAAGAUAUAUAGUUAGAUACCAUAACAUAACAUUAAAUGUGACUGAUCUUGGUGAUAACACUGUUGUUGUGUUGGAUCCUUUGCCGACUUGUAAUAAAGCAACAACAUGUGAAGACUGUACAUCACUGAACAUUGGGUUUAAUUGUUCUUGGUGUCAUGCAGUAUCAAGAUGUUCUGAUGGAAUAGACAGGCAUAUGCAGGAAUGGUCAACUACUGGCUGUGUAACUAAUGGCUUUGAUACAUUGGAUCAAUGCACGAUACCAACAACAACAACCUCACCUACACCAACGAUAAAACUUACAACAACUACAAAACCAACAACUACAAAGCCAACAACUAGAAAACCAACAAUUACGAGAAUGUUACAUACAACAACAGCAGCACCAUUGAAACCACCCAAAAGUGACGCAGUGAGCUCAAGUGGAAGUAAGAUUGUGGACUAGUCCCGAAAAUAACAGCUAAAUGCAAAACUUAAAAUCACGUGAUCAAUUAUAACAUUGUGUUUUAUCUAGUUUUCUUUAAUAUUCUUUUGAGAAAUCUAAUAUGAGUUUGUCUCGCCUAUCUCUAUCAAACUUCAAUUUUCUUUUUGUUGAUUUUAUUUAUUGGCUUGAAAAAGAAGUGACAAGGAAUAAUGCAUACAUGAAAUUUUAAAGAAGUCUGAUGCAUGAAAUAAAAUGAAUCGAACGAAAUGCUCGUUCCGAUUCUGCAGUAGUGGCUAUUCCAAUCGUUUUAUUUUUGGUGAUAAUUGUUGUCUUACUUGGUGUUUGGAUAUAUUAUGCACGUACACACCCUAAUACCAGAUCCGGUAUGUGGUUGAUUGA